rnacentral:rRNA from 1 species
UGGGGAAUAUUGCGCAAUGGGGGGAACCCUGACGCAGCCAUGCCGCGUGAAUGAAGAAGGCCUUAGGGUUGUAAAGUUCUUUCGGUAUUGAGGAAGGUUGAUGUGUUAAUAGCACAUCAAAUUGACGUUAAAUACAGAAGAAGCACCGGCUAACUCCGUGCCAGCAGCCGCGGUAAUACGGAGGGUGCGAGCGUUAAUCGGAAUAACUGGGCGUAAAGGGCACGCAGGCGGUUAUUUAAGUGAGGUGUGAAAGCCCCGGGCUUAACCUGGGAAUUGCAUUUCAGACUGGGUAACUAGAGUACUUUAGGGAGGGGUAGAAUUCCACGUGUAGCGGUGAAAUGCGUAGAGAUGUGGAGGAAUACCGAAGGCGAAGGCAGCCCCUUGGGAAUGUACUGACGCUCAUGUGCGAAAGCGUGGGGAGCAAACAGGAUUAGAUGCCCUGGUAGUCCACGCUGUAAACGCUGUCGAUUUGGGGGUUGGGGUUUAACUCUGGCGCCCGUAGCUAACGUGAUAAAUCGACCGCCUGGGGAGUACGGCCGCAAGGUUA